UCUUGCGCAAUGGGCGAAAGCCUGACGCAGCGACGCCGCGUGGGGGAUGAAGGCCUUCGGGUUGUAAACCCCUUUCAGGAGGGAAGAUGGGACGGGCAACCGUUCGGACGGUACCUUCAGAAGCAGCCACGGCUAACUCUGUGCCAGCAGCCGCGGUAAGACAGAGGUGGCAAGCGUUGUUCCGAUUUACUGGGCGUAAAGGGUGCGUAGGUGGUUAGGUAAGACCUGCGGGAAAGACCUGGGCUUAACCCAGGAAGGUCGUAGGUGACUGCCUGGCUAGAGGGCGGGAGAGGAGAGCGGAAUUCCCGGUGUAGCGGUGAAAUGCGUAGAGAUCGGGAGGAAGGCCGGUGGCGAAGGCGGCUCUCUGGAACGUCAUGACACUGAGCACGGAG
rnacentral:rRNA from 1 species